AGAGUUUGAUCCUGGCUCAGGACGAACGCUGGCGGCGUGCGUAACACAUGCAAGUCGAACGGCGUCAUAGGCUUCGGUCUAGGGCGCAGUGGCGGACGGGUGAGUAACACGUGGAUAACCUGCCUUCGUGUGGGGGAUAGCCUUCAGAAAUGGGGGAUAAUACCGCAUAAGGUUCGUCGCGGAGGAGACUCCGGGACGAGGCAAAGCUCUUUUUGGUGAAAGCCGGGGGGUGGCGCGCGAAGAGGGGUCCGCGGCCGAUUAGCUAGUUGGUGGGGUAAGCGCCUACCAGGGCGACGAUCGGUAGCUGGUCUGAGAGGACGAUCAGCCACACUGGGAUUGAGAACGGCCCAGACUCCUACGGGGGGCAGCAGUGAGGAAUUUUCGGCAAUGGGGGCAACCCUGACCGAGCAACGCCGCGUGCAGGACGACGGCCUUCGGGUUGUAAACUGCUUUUCUCUGGGACGAGCAAGGACGGUACCAGAGGAAGAAGCCCCGGCUAACUACGUGCCAGCAGCCGCGGUAAUACGUAGGGGGCGAGCGUUGUCCGGAGUUACUGGGCGUAAAGCGCACGCAGGCGGUCAGGCAGGUGUGGGGUGACAGUGGUCGGCUUAACCGACCGAGUGCCUCGCAAACGGCGUGACUUGAGGGCCACAGAGGGACAUGGAACUCCAGGUGUAGUGGUGAAAUGCGUAGAUAUCUGGAAGAACACCAAAGGCGAAGGCAGUGUCCUGGGUGGUACCUGACGCUGAUGUGCGAAAGCCAGGGGAGCGAACGGGAUUAGAUACCCCGGUAGUCCUGGCCGUAAACGAUGACCACUAGAUGUGUGGGGUAUCGACCCCCUGCGUGUCGGAGUUAACGCAAUAAGUGGUCCGCCUGGGGAGUACGGUCGCAAGAUUAAAACUUAAAGGAAUUGACGG
rnacentral:rRNA from 1 species